AACGAACGCUGGCGGCAGGCUUAACACAUGCAAGUCGAACGCACCGCCAGGGGGGUGGCAGCCGGGUGAGUAACGCGUGGGAACAUACCCUUUUCUACGGAAUAGCUCUGGGAAACUGGAAUUAAUACCGUAUACGCCCUACGGGGGAAAGAUUUAUCGGGGAAGGAUUGGCCCGCGUUGGAUUAGCUAGUUGGUGGGGUAAAGGCCUACCAAGGCGACGAUCCAUAGCUGGUCAGAGAGGAUGAUCAGCCACAUUGGGACUGAGACACGGCCCAAACUCCUACGGGAGGCAGCAGUGGGGAAUAUUGGACAAUGGGCGCAAGCCUGAUCCAGCCAUGCCGCGUGAGUGAUGAAGGCCUUAGGGUUGUAAAGCUCUUUCACCGAUGAAGAUAAUGACGGUAGUCGGAGAAGAAGCCCCGGCUAACUUCGUG
rnacentral:rRNA from 1 species